GACGAACGCUGGCGGCGUGCCUAAUACAUGCAAGUCGAACGCUGAAGGAGGAGCUUGCUUCUCCGGAUGAGUUGCGAACGGGUGAGUAACGCGUAGGUAACCUGCCUGGUAGCGGGGGAUAACUAUUGGAAACGAUAGCUAAUACCGCAUAACAGUAGAUAUCGCAUGAUAUCUGCUUGAAAGGUGCAAUUGCAUCACUACCAGAUGGACCUGCGUUGUAUUAGCUAGUUGGUGAGGUAACGGCUCACCAAGGCGACGAUACAUAGCCGACCUGAGAGGGUGAUCGGCCACACUGGGACUGAGACACGGCCCAGACUCCUACGGGAGGCAGCAGUAGGGAAUCUUCGGCAAUGGACGGAAGUCUGACCGAGCAACGCCGCGUGAGUGAAGAAGGUUUUCGGAUCGUAAAGCUCUGUUGUAAGAGAAGAACGAGUGUGAGAGUGGAAAGUUCACACUGUGACGGUAUCUUACCAGAAAGGGACGGCUAACUACGUG
rnacentral:rRNA from 1 species